UACGAGGGGGGCGAGCGUUGUUCGGAAUUACUGGGCGUAAAGCGUGCGCAGGCGGCUUCUCAAGUCAGGGGUGAAAGCCCAGAGCUCAACUCUGGAAUUGCCUUUGAGACUGAGUGGCUUGAGUACGAGAGAGGUGAGUAGGAAUUCCCAGUGUAGAGGUGAAAUUCGUAGAUAUUCGGAAGAACACCAGUGGCGAAGGCGACUCGCUGGACAAGUAUUGACGCUGAGGUGGCGAAAGCGUUGGGGAGCAAACAGG
rnacentral:rRNA from 1 species